AUGGCCGUAGCAAUGCCAGCUGCGCUUCUCCUGCUUCUCCUCCUGGUCGCGCCGCCGGCGGCGGGCUCGUCGGAGGCGGCAGUCCGGCCGAACCCCAAGAUCGUCAACUGGGUCGCAGGCAACGCCCGCGCCUCCACGCCCGACAGCUUCGGCUCCCUCAUCUUCGACCUCUCCGUCGGGACGCCGCGGCAGACCCUCUCCUUCGUCAUGGACAUCACCGAGCAGCUCGUCUGGGCGCAGUGCCGGGAACAUGGGUUCGCGCAGUCGCAGGCGCCCACCUUCAGGCCCGGCAGCUCCUUCGCCCCGAUUGGCUGCAACGACACGGCAUGUCAGAGCCUGGCCCAGCCCCCCGACGACAACUGCACCCAUCCCGACGACCACUGCAAGUACGCAUGGGACUUCCAGCGCCGCGGCAGCGGCGCCAUGUCCGGCUACCUCGCCACCGAGACGUUCAGCUUCGGGGCCAAGUCCGUCCCCGGCAUGGUGUUCGGCUGCAGCGACAACGUCAUGGUGCGGGCCCUCGGCGGCGUCUCUGGCUUCGCCGGAUUCAGCAGGGCCCCCCUCUCCCUCGUCUCGCAGCUCCACGUCUCCAAGUUCUCCUAUUUCAUCGACCACAACAACGGCGACGACAGCAGCUUCCUCAGCCUGGGCGACGCGGGCGCCGCGCAGGCUAUGGGCAACAACAGCACGCCGCUGCUGCCAGCCACGACCAGACAGGACAGUUACCUCUACUACGUCAAUCUCACCGGCAUUCAGGUCGACGGGGAGCUCCUCGCCGACAUCCAGGCGGGGACCUUCGCCGUCCAGGAAGACGGCUCCGGCGGGGUGUUCCUCAGCACAACAAUUCCCUACACCUUCCUCCAAGAGGCCGCGUACAAGGUUCUGAAGCAGGAGCUCGCGAGCAGGAUUCGGUCACAGGGCGUAGCUCCGAUGAACGCCACAGCCGACGACCUGUGCUUCCUCAAGGAGAACUUUCGCAGCGUCAAGGUUCCGAGGCUAGCGCUGGUGUUCGAUGGCGCCGACGCGGCGAUGGAGCUCAAUGUGAAGAACUACUUCUCCAUCUACGACGAAUGGCGCACGUGCCUCACCAUACUGCCGUCGCCGAACGGCGCGGCGGCCGUCCUGGGCAGCCUGCUGCAGACGGGCAGGACCAUGACCUACGACAUUCAUGGCGACGGCGGCCAGCUGACAUUCGAGCCGGUGGCAGCGGGUGGCUCGGCGCCGGCGCAUGCGGGUGGCCCGGACCCGGCGCCGGCCCAUGCGCAUGCGGGUGCCCCUGCGCCGGCGCAUGCGUCGCUCGUCAUAACAGCCACUCUUCUGGCCUGGGUGCUCCUCCUCCAGCAGUUCUAG
rnacentral:rRNA from 1 species